UGGGCAACAGAGCAAGACCCUGUCUAAAAAAAAAACAAAAAGGGGGGAGUGCAGGUGACUUGGGGCCGGGAGCCAGCAAUAGGCAGGGUUGUGGGCUGGGCAGUAUGGAGGGGUAUUUCUCCCCCAGUGCUGGGAGAGGUGAUGGCAAUCUAGAUAUGGCCGUAUCAAUUCAUGUUAGUUACCAACGACUGAAAACAUGCAGACCACCGGGGCGUUGCUCAUGUCUCCAGCUCUGAUCCGCUGUUGUACCAGGGGGCUAACCAGGCCUGUGUCUGCCUCCUUCUUGAACGGCCCAGUGAAUUCAUCUAAACAGCCUUCCCACAGCAGCUUCCCACUCCAGGUGGCCAGACGGGAGUUCCAGACCAGUGUUGUCUCCCGGGACAUUGACACGGCAGCCAAGUUGAUUGGUGCUGGGGCAGCCAGAGUUGGUGUGGCGGGUUCAGGGGCUGGCAUUGGGACGGUGUUGGGCAGCUUGAUCAUUGGCUAUGCCAGGAACCUGUCUGUCAAGCAGUGGCUCUUCUUCUGUGCCAUUCUGGGCUUUGCCCUGCCUGAGGCCGUGGGGUUCUUCUGUUUGACGGUCGCCUUCCUCAUCCUCUUUGCCAUGUAAGGCUCCGUGGGGGCCACCUGCCUGUUGCUGCUACAGCUCCACGCCAUUCCUGGGGCUGGGGUGUGCUAAGCUUUACCAUUAAACACAACGUUUGUCUAAAAAAAAAAAAAAGAAAAGAAAA